rnacentral:tRNA from 1 species
AAAAAAUUAGUUAAACUAUAACAUCAAUAUGUCAAAUUGAAAUUAUUAUUAUUUAUAAUAUUUUUUA